UACAGAGGGUGCAAGCGUUAAUCGGAAUUACUGGGCGUAAAGCGUGCGUAGACGGUUAUGUAAGUCGGGUGUGAAAGCCCCGGGCUCAACCUGGGAAUUGCAUUCGAGACUGCAUAGCUAGGGUGCGGAAGAGGGAAGCGGAAUUUCCGGUGUAGCGGUGAAAUGCGUAGAUAUCAGGAGGAACACCGAUGGCGAAGGCAGGUCUCUGGGCUGACACUGACGCUCAUGCACGAAAGCGUGGGGAGCAAACAGG
rnacentral:rRNA from 1 species